rnacentral:rRNA from 1 species
UACAGAGACUGCAAGCGUUGUUCGGAACCACUGGGCGUAAAGCGCGUGUAGGCGGCCCAUUAAGUCUGAUGUGAAAGCCCGGGGCUCACCCCCGGAAGUGCAUUGGAAACUGAUGGGCUGGAGUCCCGGAGAGGAGGGUGGAAUUCCUGGUGUAGCGGUGAAAUGCGUAGAUAUCAGGAGGAACACCGGUGGCGAAGGCGGCCCUCUGGACGGUGACUGACGCUGAGACGCGAAAGCGUGGGGAGCAAACAGG